GCUGAUUUUCUUCCUGUAACCUUCCUGAGGUGUGAGCUAACCAUAGCUGUGACCAAAUAGGCAUGGUGGGAACCCUGCAGCUGAGCAAGACACUGACCAAACCCAAUCAGCCUACGAACACUAGGAACAAACCUAUAGUCAACAAAAAUCAGACUCUCUUUUCUGCUUGCUUGCUCUGAGGAAGCAAGUUGCCAUGUUGUGAGCUACCUAGACAUCCAGACUGGAACUGAAGCCUUGUACAACAGCCACAAAGAAAUUGAGUGCUACUGACAGCCACAUUCCUCAGUUGAGCCUUG